UAUGGAAAUUAAUGGACACUGCUGUAAAAUAUGAGCUAGAGGAAAAUUUUGCCUCCCACCCCCUCAGUAGGACGAUAUAUGUUGUAGCUGUAUUUGCAGGAUGCUGUUUGACACAGUGAACCUAAAGGAAAACCACUGCCCAUUUUGAAAUGAGCCUGAACACACCACUGAGGGACACCCAGCAAGAGAUCGCAGCACAGAGCGACAGUCUGCAAGGAACCAAAAGCAACCAAGAUGUGGUGAGUGCAAUGAAGGCUAUUUCCCAACCUGUGUCAGAUAGAAGCACUGGCUGCAAAGAUGUUUCUUUUAACACCGUAAAAGGAUAGUGGAGUCAGAAUCAAGGCUCUCUGAGAGCUACAACACAAGAGUUUAAGCUUUACCUUCUGAAAAUGUUUGCCAGCCGUGCAUUGUUUGUCAAGGCUGCUGAUCUCUGUGUGCAGAGUGUGCCUCAUUGCUUCUGUUGGAUGCAUACCUAUUAGACUAAAUCCAAAAUCUAAUGAACUUUUUUCCCUUUCUCACUGCAUGAAUUAUGUUCAAGCACUGUUGGUUAAAGAAGAGCAAGGAUAGCUCAAUUUAGAAUAAAAAAAUGCCAAGUAAAUGUGCUUUGGGAGCAUAUUCUAUUAUAAAAUCAGAGAAAGGGGCUUUUAAAAAUCAAAGCACAGUUAUUUUGUUGUUUUGUACAUUGUAUGUUUUGUUAGAGUUGUUGUCAAAACGUCAUUAAACAUUUGUAUUUUCUUUCUUGCACAAAAUGUGAUAGAUAGAUCAAAGUAGCUGAAAGCAUGUAUAAAUACUUCUUAUCUACUAAUAGAAGAACACUAGACAGCAUUUUAUGAAUUUCUCACUAUAGUCCUAAUAUCUUCCUAAGGGGUUGUUGAGAUUUUUUCUCUCAUAUCUUUUUAGCCUCUGUUUGCAUGUUACACCAUGUGUGCAGACAGAAAAUAAUUUUUCUCAACUAACACAAAGCAUAAUUACACAGCGCUUUCCUUCAUAUUUCAGACACUACAAAUUUAAAUAAACAUUUAUACUUAAA